AAACUCCACACAGAAAGGCCGGGGAAACCAGGGUUUGAACCUGCAACCUUCUUGCUGUGAAGCAACAGUGCCAACCACUGUACCACCACGCCACCCCCCUAGCAGUGUUCAGCAACAUUUAAAUCAAAAUGUGUUGACAGUAGGUGAGGCAUUCACUUGCUUUAAAAAUGUAAUAUAGGGUGAAUGAUUAAUAUAUUUUUGCACAAUUAGUAGUAUAAACUACUGUAGAGAGGUUGGAAAAGUCAUGUGAAAAGAAAACAGUUGUUAAAUAAGGAGAUGAAGAUGAAGGAUUGGCUCCAGCCCCCCGCGACCCUGUACGCAGGAUAAGCGGUUGACGAUGGAUGGAUGGAUGGGUUUAAUUAAAGGUAAUGGAAAGCUCUGCUAAUAAAGCAAUAAAAAAUUAUUAUAAAUUGAGUAUUUCAAAUUUCUUGAUGAAAAGUUUUAUGAGUCAAAUGGACUACAAGAAACACUCGAGCUCAGAAGAAAUUAGCCUUUUGUGUUACUGUAUCCAGCUCUCAUUUUUUGACUUGAAGUAUUCGUCUAAAUUUCAACACAUCCACAAGUUACUUAUAGUGAACAAAGAGAAGUCCACAGUGAAACAGUCAAAAUAAUCUAAUGUAAUGUUAAUUUAAUCUCAACAAAGAUCAAUCACAUGGAACAUUUUCAAAUACACAGACCCAAAAUCUUGGCUCAGCUUUCCAAACUGGACUGAACUUACUUCAGGUGGUGAGAACUUUCAGUCCAUCAUGGGAAAAAGAUUUAUAUCCAAAAAAAAUCACAUUGCCACAUGUUGUGGUGAAAAGUAGCUCAAGAUGUUUCUGCGUCAAAAAGCACACGCCUAUGCGUAAAAUAUGACACAUCCAUUUGAGGACAUGAAAAUCUAUUCCAUUCUGAGACUGUAACAUUUUUUAUCCUCUGCAGCCAUAAAUAGUUUUUGUCAGAAAGAAACAGACUCAAUAGUCAGAGUAAAACACAUUUAAACAACAAAUCUUGACAGUGCAAGCUGUUGACCAAUGUGCUGUUUGUAAUGAUGAUUUUAUUACAUACAGCAAGUAUUCCAGGGGUAUAAAAUGGUCCAGGAUCCUAAUAGACAGCAGAGUAAUCUCAAACCCAGAGCCGACAUCUAUAUGACGGCUCCAAUGUUCCAUAACAUCAAUCAUCCAUCCUGAUCUGCUUUUCUUUCCUGCCUUACCCCUCCCUUCCUGCUAUUUGCCGUAUCAUAUGUUCCACCAUAUGCCCUGGGGAGAGAGAAUAUACGCAGACUUUCAUCUGUAAGUGACGUGCUGUCAUCGUUGCUUGGGUGGAGGGAGACGAAGGAAGACGAAGGACUGAAAGAUGGAGAGAGAGACAGUGAGCAUUAAGUGGAUGGACAAGAGAUGUCCAACAAGUCAAGUUAUUACUGGUGGCUUUAGGUGCUGGAAAGAGCUGGCGUUUGCAGUGUUGCGGUCACACAUUCUGACAACAGUGAAGGCAAAGAUGAGCACAAGUUAAUCCAGGAGGAGGAAUCUGAAAUCUGAGCCAGCAGGCUUAUGGAAAGUCGACAGCAAAGAGCACAGAUGAGAGGAGCACAUCACAAUAAUUACCCGAGCCGUCUGCGAUGACCUACCAAGCCCAUCAGUUCUCUGGAGAAAAGUUGAUUCACCAUCAUGACCCUGAGCCAGGGAAAGGAACUAAAGCAUGACAUCCUCGGCUGGAGCACUGAUGAAGGGAGCUCAUGGUGGCACCUUGGCCUGCAGAGACAGUCUGAAGUGCCAUUUGCAAUAGAAAGCCAAGAAAUCCAUUGUAGUGAUCACAUUAAGCCCAUAAUUUAUUAAAAAGACAACUUUGCGAAACUCCCGCCCCAAACAGCGAACCGUAAAUAGGCACAGCAGGCCUGUCAAGCUGUGGAUUUGUCAACAUACCAGAGCGGUGUGCAUGAAGCUCGACUCUGCAUUUUAAGAGGCUGGAGGGUGGUGUUCUUUUUUUAGCCUUUCCAAAUCACAAAACACAGAGCAAAAGUGUAACAAAUGGAUCAAGCAAUGUGUCUUUCUGUCUGUUGUUAGCAUGUCUAGCUAACUAGCUUACUACCCAUUCUAAUAAUCUAACAUUGCUUCCAAGGCCAAGGAGCACAUCAAAAUAGCAGUCUGAUCUUGCAUUAGUUUACAUACAGGCUAAUAUUACCUAAAUAUACCCAUUGUUAAAUCCAAGCUAUUACCUGGUUAUUACUGUGGUAAUUACAUCAUAUUACUUAAUUAUUACCUCUUUUUUAUCCAACUAUUACCAUUUAAUUACCUGGCUGUAAUGUAAUGUGCUACCAAAGCUUUUUGUCUACCUCCCUCCAUUGUUUAAAGAAAUAUGGAAAACUUUGUGUCGUAAAUCUGCCUCUGUUAUCAGUGUUAACUGCAUGUAUAAGUGAGAACGGAAAGCUUGAUAUAUGCAGCAACAGUAACAAAGGGUGGUGAGGCUUAGAGAACAUUCAGUAUGAUCAAGACAUUUUACCUAUAGCACAGAAAAGUAUUGAGGUUCAAUGAAAUAAAUGAGCUAAACAAAGCACAGGUAAAAUGCCACACUAUGAUCACACACACACACACACACACACACACCACACCAUGAAAUAAUUUUGUGACAGCUGAAAAACUGGUAAAAGCCAUAUUCACUUGCUUGUCAUGUGAAAAGGUUAGCUCAAUUAAAAAGAACUUUCCAAGAAACAAGAAACACUUCAACUAAAAAGUAAACAUUUAUUCAGAGUAGGGUAAAGCUUCUUAGUUUGAGUUUGGCACUGAAUCCAGGCCAGAAUGGAAGACAAAUUUAUACGCACACACUUUCCAUCGCACCAUUUCAGUUUCAAACUACAGCUGGUGGUUGUGCCUGCUACACAUAAUCCUUAAGGGGUCAGGAAUGUUUUUUUUUCUAUCAUGUGAAUGUAAAAAAGCUUAUAUUUAAAUUUUUGGUCAUUAUGCUCAUUAAAUUUCAGGAGACAACUAUUAUGAAAGAUACAGCAGGUAUUGAGAAACAGAGAAAUAGAGAAGAGAGAAAAAAAAACAUGAUGAGUUAGUGGAUGCUCAUUAUAUGAUGUCUGCAGAUGGUCUCACCUUUUAUUGAUUUAUGUAGUUUUGUAUGAUGCAUUGGCAAUAUUGUUGUUAUACAUUCAUGCCAAUAAAGCUAAUUUGAAUUGAA